AGGACGAACGCUGGCGGCGUGCUUAACACAUGCAAGUGGAGCGACGAACCGGGGCUUGCCCCGGGGCAGAGCCGCGAACGGGUGAGUAACACGUGGGUAACCCACCUCGAUGACCGGGACAACCCGAGGAAACUCGGGCUAAAUACCGGAUGUGAUCCUCUUCUGUAAGGAAGUUGAUGAAAAGAUAGCUUCGGCUUUCGCAUCGAGACGGGCCCGCGGCCCAUUAGCUUGUUGGUGGGGUAAAGGCCUACCAAGGCAUCGAUGGGUAGCUGGUCUGAGAGGACGAUCAGCCACACUGGGACUGAGACACGGCCCAGACUCCUACGGGAGGCAGCAGUAGGGAAUCUUGGACAAUGGGCGAAAGCCUGAUCCAGCCAUGCCGCGUGAGUGAAGAAGGCCUUAGGGUUGUAAAGCUCUUUUGGCGGGGACGAUAAUGACGGUACCCGCAGAAUAAGCCCGGCUAACUUCGUGCCAGCAGCCGC
rnacentral:rRNA from 1 species